UGAACCUAUAGUCACCUUGUCUCUGCUACAUGAGUUGGCAUUUACACUUCUCAUCUUUCCCCCAGGAGAUAUAGGCACCUGGCUCUGUGGCAAAGUGUGGAGAAAGGAAUCUAUUUAUCCAAUGCACAAGAUGGAGAAGCAAAGGUUCAUUGAACAGCAAAACCACCACCAGCUGGUUCUUCAGCAGAUCCUCCUAAGACUGAUAAAGCGAUUUUAUGUAAAACCUUAUUUCUUCAAAAUACCCUUUCAUGAGUACCAGAACAGUCUGAGGACUCACAUUCACAUAUCAACAAAACAGCUGCCCAUUAAAGGAAUACUGUUAUUUCUAGGUGAGAUUUUCAUUCCGCCCCACUGGUAAUACUGCAUUUUCCAGUAUGGAUCGGAACACACAUUCUGGUGCGUUUGAAGUCUUGAUCAGUCAAAGAUGUAGCUGUGACUUUCUAUGGACCAUUAGAGAACUCUCAAGUAAUUUUUUUCCAUGUGUGAUUGAUGUUUCAUAAUAAAUGGUUGCAAGAUUUUUGGAAUCAACAUGACAAAAAUACAGACAUAUUCUGGAUAUUCUUAAGCACACACAAAAUAAAAAACAAAGCAAGACCUUGGUAUCACAUCUGAUCUAGGUUAAAUUUUGGCAUAUAUAUGUUUGUCUCAAAAAUCAAUUUGCACCAUUUUUCAGAGAAUUGCAUACAUAGAACCUUUAAGCAAGUUUUUAUUUAAUAUGUAGUAGACAGUAGGUUGAAGUCCAUAACAGAUCCUUUAAUGUGAACUACUGAUGGACAGAUAAGGAGCUCUGUCACUGUAGACUGAUUGGUCUGAAUGCAAAUCAGCCUCUGCUCAGGGACAGCUGACAAGAACACUGGAGUCACAUCACCUUGGCACUCUGAGCUCAUUAAAGGACACUUCCAAAGCUAUAUGGUAGAAACACAGCAAGUACAAAAGAAAAUAUCUAUGAUACUGACUAUUCUGCUGACAUAUGGAUGAUAUCCCUAUUAGCCAUUGCACUGCAAAACUGCUGA
rnacentral:lncRNA from 1 species